rnacentral:rRNA from 1 species
AACGAACGCUAGGCGGCAGGCCUAACACAUGCAAGUCGAACGCUUCAGCAAUGAAGAGUGGCAGACGGGUGAGUAACGCGUGGGAACUUCCCAGUGGUACGGAAUAGCCCAGGGAAACUUGGGGUAAUACCGUAUAAGCCCUUAGGGGGAGAGAGUUUAUCGCCAUUGGAUGGGCCCGCGUCGGAUUAGCUUGUUGGUGAGGUAAAAGCUCACCAAGGCGACGAUCCGUAGCUGGUCUGAGAGGAUGAUCAGCCACACUGGGACUGAGACACGGCCCAGACUCCUACGGGAGGCAGCAGUGGGGAAUAUUGGACAAUGGGCGCAAGCCUGAUCCAGCCAUGCCGCGUGAGUGACGAAGGCCUUAGGGUUGUAAAGCUCUUUCAGCUGGGAAGAUAAUGACGGUACCAGCAGAAGAAGCCCCGGCUAACUCCGUG